rnacentral:rRNA from 1 species
UGGGGAAUUUUGCGCAAUGGGGGAAACCCUGACGCAGCAACGCCGCGUGGAGGAUGAAGUACUUCGGUACGUAAACUCCUUUCGAUCGGGACGAUAAUGACGGUACCGGAAGAAGAAGCCCCGGCUAACUUCGUGCCAGCAGCCGCGGUAAUACGAGGGGGGCGAGCGUUGUUCGGAAUUAUUGGGCGUAAAGGGUGCGUAGGCGGUUUGGUAAGUCUCUUGUGAAAUCUAUGGGCUCAACUCAUAGACUGCAAGGGAAACUGCCGGGCUUGAGUGUGGGAGAGGUGAGUGGAAUUUCCGGUGUAGCGGUGAAAUGCGUAGAUAUCGGAAGGAACACCUGUGGCGAAAGCGGCUCACUGGACCACAACUGACGCUGAUGCACGAAAGCUAGGGGAGCAAACAGG